UGGGGAAUAUUGCACAAUGGGCGAAAGCCUGAUGCAGCAACGCCGCGUGAGUGAUGAAGGUCUUCGGAUUGUAAAGCUCUGUCUUUUGGGACGAUAAUGACGGUACCAAAGGAGGAAGCCACGGCUAACUACGUGCCAGCAGCCGCGGUAAUACGUAGGUGGCGAGCGUUGUCCGGAUUUACUGGGCGUAAAGGGUGCGUAGGCGGAUGUUUAAGUGAGAUGUGAAAUACCCGGGCUUAACUUGGGUGCUGCAUUUCAAACUGGAUAUCUAGAGUGCAGGAGAGGAGAAUGGAAUUCCUAGUGUAGCGGUGAAAUGCGUAGAGAUUAGGAAGAACACCAGUGGCGAAGGCGAUUCUCUGGACUGUAACUGACGCUGAGGCACGAAAGGCGUGGGUAGCAAACAGGAUUAG
rnacentral:rRNA from 1 species